AUGUAUAUAUAUAUAUAUAUAUAUAUAUAUAUAUAUAUGGACUUAUUCUACGCCAACACCAAAGAGGCCUACACUGCAUCCUGCCUCCCACCACUGGGCAGAGCUGACCACAACAUCCUGCAUCUCCUGCCUGUGUAUAAACCUGUUGUACACAGGCAGCCGGUGGUGCCCCGCAUAGUGAAGAGGUGGACAGCUGAGAGCGAGGAGGCUCUCAGGGACUGUUUUAACACCACUGUGUGGACGGAGCUCUGUGACCCACAUGGGGAGGACAUUAACACAAUAACAGACUGCUUGACAGAAUAUAUUAACUUCUGCUGUAAAAACACCGUUCCCUCCAGCCUAGUACAGUGUUUCACCAACAACAAGCCGUGGGUCACCCCUGAUAUUAAAGCUCUGUUUAAGGAGAAGAGAGCAUUUAGAUCAUGGAACAGGAAAGCAGCUGGACCAGAUGGCAUCAGCUCCAGACUCCUAAAGUCCUGCACAGGUGAACUAUGCAGAGUUCUGGAGCAAGACUUCAACCUAAGCCUCAAGCUGAGGGUGGUACCAGGGCUCUGGAAGACCUCUUGCAUGGUACAAGUGCCCAAGACACCGGAAGCCAAAGACAUCAGCAGCUUCAGACUAGUGGCUCUCAUGUCCCAUCUGAUGAAGACACUGCAGAGACUGGUCCUGGGUCACCUUAGAUCUGAAGUAGGAACUUACCUGGACCCGCUGCAGUUUGCCUAUCGACACGGCAUAGGAGCAGACGACGCCGUCAUCUUCCUCCUACAUCGAGCCCUUUCCCACCUAGAGAAGCCCGGCAGCACUGUGAGGAUCAUGUUCUUUGACUUCUCCAGUGCCUUCAACACCAUCCAGCCGGUGCUUCUGAAACACAAACUGGAGGAGGCUGGUGUGGACCUUAAUCUGACGGAGUGGAUUAUGGACUAUCUCACAAACAGGCCUCAGUUUGUGAGAGCCAGGGACUGUGUGUCUGACACUCUGACCUGCAGUGCGGGGGCCCCACAGGGGACUGUACUGGCCCCCUUCCUCUUCACCCUCUACACGGCAGACUUCAGACACAACACGGACAGCUGUGUUCUGCAGAAGUUCUCUGAUGACUCUGCGAUUGUCGGACUGAUCACCGAUGAUGACGACGCAGAGUACAGAGGACUCACUCAGAACUUUGUGGACUGGUGCCAGCGGAACCACCUCCUGAUCAAUGCAGGGAAAACAAAGGAGAUGGUGGUGGAUUUCCGCAGACAGCAGCCUGCUGUCAUCUCACCGAUGCACAUCCAGGGAAGGGACAUUGAGAGAGUGGACUCUUACAAGUACCUGGGAGUGCAUCUGAACAAAAAACUGGACUGGACUCAUAACAUAGAUGCACUGUACAGGAAGGGUCAGAGCAGACUGUACCUGCUGAGGAGACUGUGGUCUUUUGGAGUGAGGGGGCCACUCCUGAAGACCUUCUAUGAUUCUGUGGUGGCAUCAGCCAUCCUAUACGUGUGGUCUGCUGGGGCAGCAGCAUCACAGUGA
rnacentral:lncRNA from 1 species